AUUGAACGCUGGCGGCAGGCUUAACACAUGCAAGUCGAGCGGGGGAAGGUAGCUUGCUACCGGACCUAGCGGCGGACGGGUGAGUAAUGCUUAGGAAUCUGCCUAUUAGUGGGGGACAACAUCUCGAAAGGGAUGCUAAUACCGCAUACGUCCUACGGGAGAAAGCAGGGGAUCUUCGGACCUUGCGCUAAUAGAUGAGCCUAAGUCGGAUUAGCUAGUUGGUGGGGUAAAGGCCUACCAAGGCGACGAUCUGUAGCGGGUCUGAGAGGAUGAUCCGCCACACAGGGACUGAGACACGGCCCAGACUCCUACGGGAGGCAGCAGUGGGGAAUAUUGGACAAUGGGGGGAACCCUGAUCCAGCCAUGCCGCGUGUGUGAAGAAGGCCUUAUGGUUGUAAAGCACUUUAAGCGAGGAGGAGGCUACUUUAGUUAAUACCUAGAGAUAGUGGACGUUACUCGCAGAAUAAGCACCGGCUAACUCUGUGCCAGCCGCCGCCGCCG
rnacentral:rRNA from 1 species